GUUGUGGCCUUGAGCCGUGGCUUUCGGAGCUAACGCGUUAAGUAGACCGCCUGGGGAGUACGGUCGCAAGAUUAAAACUCAAAUGAAUUGACGGGGGCCCGCACAAGCGGUGGAGCAUGUGGUUUAAUUCGAUGCAACGCGAAGAACCUUACCUACUCUUGACAUCCAUAGAACUUUCCAGAGAUGGAUUGGUGCCUUCGGGAACUAUGAGACAGGUGCUGCAUGGCUGUCGUCAGCUCGUGUUGUGAAAUGUUGGGUUAAGUCCCGCAACGAGCGCAACCCUUAUCCUUGUUUGCCAGCGAGUAAUGUCGGGAACUCCAGGGAGACUGCCGGUGAUAAACCGGAGGAAGGUGGGGACGACGUCAAGUCAUCAUGGCCCUUACGAGUAGGGCUACACACGUGCUACAAUGGCGCAUACAGAGGGCGGCCAACUUGCGAAAGUGAGCGAAUCCCAAAAAGUGCGUCGUAGUCCGGAUUGGAGUCUGCAACUCGACUCCAUGAAGUCGGAAUCGCUAGUAAUCGUAGAUCAGAAUGCUACGGUGAAUACGUUCCCGGGCCUU
rnacentral:rRNA from 1 species